rnacentral:rRNA from 1 species
AGUGAACGCUGGCGGUAGGCCUAACACAUGCAAGUCGAACGGCAGCACAGUAAGAGCUUGCUCUUACGGGUGGCGAGUGGCGGACGGGUGAGGAAUACAUCGGAAUCUACUUUUUCGUGGGGGAUAACGUAGGGAAACUUACGCUAAUACCGCAUACGACCUACGGGUGAAAGCAGGGGAUCUUCGGACCUUGCGCGAUUGAAUGAGCCGAUGUCGGAUUAGCUAGUUGGCGGGGUAAAGGCCCACCAAGGCGACGAUCCGCAGCUGGUCUGAGAGGAUGAUCAGCCACACUGGAACUGAGACACGGUCCAGACUCCUACGGGAGGCAGCAGUGGGGAAUAUUGGACAAUGGGCGCAAGCCUGAUCCAGCCAUACCGCGUGGGUGAAGAAGGCCUUCGGGUUGUAAAGCCCUUUUGUCGGGAAAGAAAAGCAGCAGGUUAAUACCCCGCUGUUCUGACGGUACCCAAAGAAUAAGCACCGGCUAACUUCGUG